GCUGGGCGUGGUGGUGCAUGCCUGUAAUCCCAGCAGCUCAGGAGGCUGAGACAGGAGGAUAUAUAUGUGUAUAUAUAUAUAUAUAUAUAUAUAUAUGCUGGUCUU
rnacentral:sRNA from 1 species